UACGAAGGGGGCUAGCGUUGCUCGGAAUCACUGGGCGUAAAGCGUACGUAGGCGGGCUUUUAAGUCGGUGGUGAAAUCCUGGAGCUCAACUCCAGAACUGCCUCCGAUACUGAGAGUCUUCGAGUCCGGGAGAGGUGAGUGGAACUGCGAGUGUAGAGGUGAAAUUCGUAGAUAUUCGCAAGAACACCAGUGGCGAAGGCGGCUCACUGGCCCGAUACUGACGCUGAGGUGCGAAAGCGUGGGGAGCAAACAGG
rnacentral:rRNA from 1 species